UGUUCUAAAUUCAGUUGGAAUUGACCCCAACUCUGUGAAGGGAUUUGUAGUCGUUUUGUUGUCCUGGGAUUUGUAGUCAUUGUGUUGUCCUGGGAUUUGUAGUCCAUUGUGUUGUCCUGGGAUUUGUAGUCAUUGUGUUGUCCUGGGAUUUGUAGUCAUUGUGUUGACUUGGGAUUGGUAGUCAUUGUGUUGUCUUGGGAUUGGUAGUC
rnacentral:lncRNA from 13 species